GAUGAACGCUGGCGGCGUGCCUAAUACAUGCAAGUCGAGCGAACAGAUAAGGAGCUUGCUCCUUUGACGUUAGUGGCGGACGGGUGAGUAACACGUGGGUAACCUACCUAUAAGACUGGAAUAACUCCGGGAAACCGGGGCUAAUGCAGGAUAACAUGUUGAACCGCAUGGUUCUACAGUGAAAGGCGGCUUUGCUGUCACUUAUAGAUGGACCCGCGCCGUAUUAGCUAGUUGGUGAGGUAACGGCUCACCAAGGCAACGAUACGUAGCCGACCUGAGAGGGUGAUCGGCCACACUGGAACUGAGACACGGUCCAGACUCCUACGGGAGGCAGCAGUAGGGAAUCUUCCGCAAUGGGCGAAAGCCUGACGGAGCAACGCCGCGUGAGUGAUGAAGGUCUUCGGAUCGUAAAACUCUGUUAUUAGGGAAGAACAAAUGCGUAAGUAACUGUGCGCGUCUUGACGGUACCUAAUCAGAAAGCCACGGCUAACUACGUG
rnacentral:rRNA from 1 species